rnacentral:rRNA from 1 species
UUGUCUCAAAGAUUAAGCCAUGCAUGUCUCAGUACAAGCCGCAUUAAGGUGAAACCGCGAAAGGCUCAUUAAAUCAGUUAUGGUUCCUUAGAUCGUACCCACACUUACUUGGAUAACUGUGGUAAUUCUAGAGCUAAUACAUGCAAACAGAGCUCCGACCGGAGACGGGAGGAGUGCUUUUAUUAGAUCAAAACCAAUCGGCGGCGGGCGCGUCCGCGCGCCCGUUCGCCGCUCAACCUGGUGACUCUGAAUAACUUUGUGCUGAUCGCACGGUCUCGCACCGGCGACGCAUCUUUCAAAUGUCUGCCUUAUCAACUGUCGAUGGUAGGUUCUGCGCCUACCAUGGUCGUAACGGGUAACGGGGAAUCAGGGUUCGAUUCCGGAGAGGGAGCCUGAGAAACGGCUACCACAUCCAAGGAAGGCAGCAGGCGCGCAAAUUACCCACUCCCGGCACGGGGAGGUAGUGACGAAAAAUAACGAUACGGGACUCAUCCGAGGCCCCGUAAUCGGAAUGAGUACACUUUAAAUCCUUUAACGAUGAUCAAUUGGAGGGCAAGCCUGGUGCCAGCAGCCGCGGUAAUUCCAGUUCCAAUAGCGUA